rnacentral:rRNA from 1 species
GAUGAACGCUGGCGGCGUGCCUAAUACAUGCAAGUCGAGCGAACGGACGAGAAGCUUGCUUCUCUGAUGUUAGCGGCGGACGGGUGAGUAACACGUGGAUAACCUACCUAUAAGACUGGGAUAACUUCGGGAAACCGGAACUAAUACCGGAUGAUAUUUUGAACCGCAUGGUUCAAAAGUGAAAGACGGUCUUGCUGUCACUUAUAGAUGGAUCCGCGCUGCAUUAGCUAGUUGGUAAGGUAACGGCUUACCAAGGCAACGAUGCAUAGCCGACCUGAGAGGGUGAUCGGCCACACUGGAACUGAGACACGGUCCAGACUCCUACGGGAGGCAGCAGUAGGGAUUCUUCCGCAAUGGGCGAAAGCCUGACGGAGCAACGCCGCGUGAGUGAUGAAGGUCUUCGGAUCGUAAAACUCUGUUAUUAGGGAAGAACAUAUGUGUAAGUAACUGUGCACAUCUUGACGGUACCUAAUCAGAAAGCCACGGCUAACUACGUG